rfam:Termitomyces sp. J132 unplaced genomic scaffold scaffold293, whole genome shotgun sequence.
GGCCGACUAGCUCAGCUGGUUAGAGCGUGGUGCUGAUAAAAUAAAUCCCAUUUAUUACGCGAAGGUCUUGGGUUCGAUCCCCACGUUGGCCA